UAAAUAUAGAAUAUUCUAAACACUUUGUGACCAAUUUUUUUAUCCAUUGCUAUUAUAAACACAUUUAUAAAAUCCAAGGCAGAAGUCUACUUAGUACAUUGCAAUCAAGAAAAUCUCUAUUAAAAAUGUAUGGAGGGAAGGAAACAGCUUCCUGUGUGCGAUCCACUU